AGAGUUUGAUCCUGGCUCAGGAUGAACGCUGGCGGCGUGCCUAAUACAUGCAAGUCGAGCGAACGGACGAGAAGCUUGCUUCUCUGAUGUUAGCGGCGGACGGGUGAGUAACACGUGGAUAACCUACCUAUAAGACUGGGAUAACUUCGGGAAACCGGAGCUAAUACCGGAUAAUAUUUUGAACCGCAUGGUUCAAAAGUGAAAGACGGUCUUGCUGUCACUUAUAGAUGGAUCCGCGCUGCAUUAGCUAGUUGGUAAGGUAACGGCUUACCAAGGCAACGAUGCAUAGCCGACCUGAGAGGGUGAUCGGCCACACUGGAACUGAGACACGGUCCAGACUCCUACGGGAGGCAGCAGUAGGGAAUCUUCCGCAAUGGGCGAAAGCCUGACGGAGCAACGCCGCGUGAGUGAUGAAGGUCUUCGGAUCGUAAAACUCUGUUAUUAGGGAAGAACAUAUGUGUAAGUAACUGUGCACAUCUUGACGGUACCUAAUCAGAAAGCCACGGCUAACUACGUGCCAGCAGCCGCGGUAAUACGUAGGUGGCAAGCGUUAUCCGGAAUUAUUGGGCGUAAAGCGCGCGUAGGCGGUUUUUUAAGUCUGAUGUGAAAGCCCACGGCUCAACCGUGGAGGGUCAUUGGAAACUGGAAAACUUGAGUGCAGAAGAGGAAAGUGGAAUUCCAUGUGUAGCGGUGAAAUGCGCAGAGAUAUGGAGGAACACCAGUGGCGAAGGCGACUUUCUGGUCUGUAACUGACGCUGAUGUGCGAAAGCGUGGGGGUCAAACAGGAUUAGAUACCCUGGUAGUCCACGCCGUAAACGAUGAGUGCUAAGUGUUAGGGGGUUUCCGCCCCUUAGUGCUGCAGCUAACGCAUU
rnacentral:rRNA from 1 species